GGAAGAGCCCCACUCCGCCACCUCCUUUCAAAGUCCGCCCGGGUGAGGAAGAUACCUUAUGCCCCCAUCUUAUCAAGAAGGAACUCUGUCGCGGAUCACUGCACUGGGGAUCGGAGCCUCCAUUCUGUGUUAUAACUGUCACCACUUUCUCUGCUGCUUCUGCUUCCAGGUACCCCAGCGACCUAUUUAUUUGGAACCCGCCCCUACAGGCACUGCCAGGCAGGACUUUUGGAAGCACCAUAGUAAAGAGAUUUGAAAAUUUUAUCAUCUUCCCUCUCAUUUCUCCGUAUACCUCCCACCUUCCGAGUAACGAAUGGUAGUAAAUCUCUCCUCUGGCGCCGCCCUGUUUUCCCUUAGAGAAUUAGGGUGCGGAACAGGACUUCGGAUUAAUAAUCUUAGCCCCCCACGGCCUGGUAGGUAAAAGCUGCUGCCCUCAGCGCCUGGUUCUGAGGACACUUCUCCAGAGACUCUGUCUCCCUGUCUCCUUUUAGAAACACAGCAAUGAGGCUGUUCAGAGGAAACAACGGCGGACAGACAAAAAGUAAUUUGCUUGAUAGAGUAACCUGUGCGCUUUGUUCUCCCCCCUUUAUCCCCCCAGUCAGCGGGAAAGAAGAACAGGGCUCUGCGUCUGGGUGCUGGUCAGCAGGGGGCACUGUUGCACCUCCCUUGGCCUUAGGGAGGAAACAGCACAGUAGACAAACCAAAGGGGUGGAGAGAGCAGCGCCUCCGGCCUGAUGCUGGUGGAUUUGAACAGAUGACCUUCCCUUGAUCCAUGGAAACAGGUGCAUUGACUCCCGAUAGCCUAAAAGCGUGAUGGAUGGGCAGAAUGGUGCCCAGUGCUGUUGCUUUCCUGGUAACCAACGGAAACCACAAUCUCUUGACGGGCGCGUGUGUCUGUGUAUGUCCGUCCUCUCCCCAUUCCGCCACCUCCUGUACUUAAAAAAGGGUGCGAUGA